CAUGGCCCAGGUGAGACGCCCGGUCCCAUUCCGAACCCGGAAGCUAAGGCCUGGCACGGCGAUGGUACUGCACCCGACAGGGUGUGGGAGAGUAGCACGCCGCCGCAC
rnacentral:rRNA from 1 species